UUGCACGCUGGCGGCAGGCCUAACACAUGCAAGUCGAGCGGAUGAAGGGAGCUUGCUCCUGGAUUCAGCGGCGGACGGGUGAGUAAUGCCUAGGAAUCUGCCUGGUAGUGGGGGAUAACGUCCGGAAACGGGCGCUAAUACCGCAUACGUCCUGAGGGAGAAAGUGGGGGAUCUUCGGACCUCACGCUAUCAGAUGAGCCUAGGUCGGAUUAGCUAGUUGGUGGGGUAAAGGCCUACCAAGGCGACGAUCCGUAACUGGUCUGAGAGGAUGAUCAGUCACACUGGAACUGAGACACGGUCCAGACUCCUACGGGAGGCAGCAGUGGGGAAUAUUGGACAAUGGGCGAAAGCCUGAUCCAGCCAUGCCGCGUGUGUGAAGAAGGUCUUCGGAUUGUAAAGCACUUUAAGUGGGGAGGAAGGGCAGUAAGUUAAUACCUUGCUGUUUUGACGUUACCAACAGAAUAAGCACCGGCUAACUUCGUG
rnacentral:rRNA from 1 species